rnacentral:rRNA from 1 species
GAUGAACGCUGGCGGCGUGCCUAAUACAUGCAAGUCGAGCGAACAGACGAGGAGCUUGCUCCUCUGACGUUAGCGGCGGACGGGUGAGUAACACGUGGAUAACCUACCUAUAAGACUGGGAUAACUUCGGGAAACCGGAGCUAAUACCGGAUAAUAUAUUGAACCGCAUGGUUCCAUAGUGAAAGACGGUUUUGCUGUCACUUAUAGAUGGAUCCGCGCCGCAUUAGCUAGUUGGUAAGGUAACGGCUUACCAAGGCAACGAUGCGUAGCCGACCUGAGAGGGUGAUCGGCCACACUGGAACUGAGACACGGUCCAGACUCCUACGGGAGGCAGCAGUAGGGAAUCUUCCGCAAUGGGCGAAAGCCUGACGGAGCAACGCCGCGUGAGUGAUGAAGGUCUUCGGAUCGUAAAACUCUGUUAUUAGGGAAGAACAAAUGUGUAAGUAACUAUGCACGUCUUGACGGUACCUAAUCAGAAAGCCACGGCUAACUACGUG